rnacentral:rRNA from 1 species
CCCCUAGACGUUCUGGGCCGCACGCGCGCUACACUGAACAGUUCAACAAGUCUUAACCUUGGCCGAUAGGUCUGGGUAAUCUUUGAACGCUGUUCGUGAUUGGGAUAGACCUUUGCAAUUAUGGGUCUUCAACGAGGAAUUCCUAGUAAACGCAAGUCAUCAGCUUGCAUUGAUUACGUCCCUGCCCUUUGUACACACCGCCCGUCGCACCUACCGAUUGAAUGGUCCGGUGAAAUCUCGGGACGGCGGCUUGGUCGCUUGCGUCCGACUGCUGAAACUUGAUUAAACCAUAUCAUUUAGAGGAAGGUGAAGUCGUANCA